rnacentral:rRNA from 1 species
GUUUGAUCAUGGCUCAGAACGAACGCUGGCGGCAGGCCUAACACAUGCAAGUCGAGCGAGGUAGCAAUACCUAGCGGCGGACGGGUUAGUAACGCGUGGGAACGUGCCCAAAGGUACGGAAUAGCCUCGGGAAACUGAGAGUAAUACCGUAUGUGCCCUUCGGGGAAGAUUAUCGCCUUUGGAUCGGCCCGCGUUGGAUUAGGUAGUUGGUGGGGUAAUGGCCUACCAAGCCGACGAUCCAUAGCUGGUUUGAGAGGAUGAUCAGCAACACUGGGACUGAGACACGGCCCAGACUCCUACGGGAGGCAGCAGUGGGGAAUCUUAGACAAUGGGGGAAACCCUGAUCUAGCCAUGCCGCGUGAGCGAUGAAGGCCUUAGGGUUGUAAAGCUCUUUCAGCUGGGAAGAUAAUGACGGUACCAGCAGAAGAAGCCCCGGCUAACUCCGUG